rnacentral:misc_RNA from 1 species
GGAAGUAAAGUCGUAACAAGGUUUCCGUAGGUGAACCUGCGGAAGGAUCAUUAAAGAGAAUAUGCCCCUCGGGGUAGAUCUCCCACCCUUUGUUUAUAUUACCUUUGUUGCUUUGGCAGGCCCGUCUUCGGACCACCGGCUUCGGCUGGUCAGUGCUUGCCAGAGGACCCAAAACUCUUAUUAUUAAUGUCGUCUGAGUACUAUAUAAUAGUUAAAACUUUCAACAACGGAUCUCUUGGUUCUG